rnacentral:rRNA from 1 species
CCCUUAGAUGUUCUGGGCCCCACACGCGCUACACUGAAGGAGGCAGCGUGUACUCCUGGAUCGAAAGAUUUGGGUAACCCGCGAAUCUCCUUCGUGCUAGGGAUUGAGGUUUGCAAUUAUCCUUCAUGAACGAGGAAUUCCCAGUAAGUGCAAGUCAUAAGCUUGCGCUGACUACGUCCCUGCCCUUUGUACACACCGCCCGUCGCUACUACCGAUUGAAUGAUUUAGUGAGGACUUCGGACUGGGACCGAUGCGGCUUUCGGGCUGCGUCGGUAUUCUGGAAAGAUGUCCAAACUGUAUCAUUUAGAGGAAGUAAAAGUCGUANCA